rnacentral:rRNA from 1 species
UUUUAUGGAGAGUUUGAUCCUGGCUCAGGACGAACGCUGGCGGCGUGCCUAACACAUGCAAGUCGAACGGUCUGGUGUUUAACACCAAGAGUUACGUGCAAAAAGAGAAAGCCGAGCAGAGCAAGCGUAAUAUGAGCGAACGAAGUGAGCUCAUCACGCCCUCAAAAGUGCCUAUCGAGGAGCAUAGAACGAUUGGUGUUGAACAUCAGAUAGUGGCGAACGGGUGAGUAACGCGUAGACAACCUGCCUUCCAGAUGGGGACAACACCGCGAAAGUGGUGCUAAUACCGAAUAAAGUAUUUUGAGCGCAUGCUUGAAAUAGCAAAGGUGGCCUCUG